rnacentral:rRNA from 1 species
UACGAAGGGGGCUAGCGUUGUCCGGAAUCACUGGGCUUAAAGCGUGUGUAGGCGGAGUUCUAAGUACCUUGUGAAAUCCCACGGCUCAACCGUGGAACUGCUUGGCAUACUGGGCGAUCUUGAGCCACUUAGGGGCUACCGGAACAAACGGUGGAGCGGUGAAAUGCGUAGAUAUCGUUUGGAACGCCAAUGGUGAAAAACAGGUAGCUGGGGG